rnacentral:lncRNA from 1 species
UGUCUUGUACUCCAAGUAGAUGAUUGUACUCCUAUAUAUAUGCCCACGAGGCUCAAGCAAUAGAUGGACUAUUCUAUCAAUCCCUCUCUCCCUUCUAACACAUAGCUUGUCUGGGUGCGAUCUUUAAAAUAUGUAUGUAUGUUCUAUAGAAGGUUCUAGCACCAAUCCGUCGGAGGUAGCCUUGCAUCGCAUCCCUCGCAACGGUUGAGGCGAGAACACCGGGCAAUAAGGGCUACAUUUCUCCCUUAAUGUUAUGUUCAUAUUCACAUUAUUCCUUUACAUUCAUGCAAUGGUGAACAUACAACUCCCUAGUGUACAUUUCAAUACACCAUACCACUAGUAUGUGAUAGGGAUUGGUUCUUCUUGAUAACAAAUCCAUCAUGAGUGAAUCUUCCAAGUUCAAGGAGUGGUCCUCGCUUCGCGAGUGUAUGGUCCUUCGGGUCCGUCCUCAUGUUAUGGUCCUCUCACUUGGUGAGGGUUGAAAAGGAGUGAGGUGAGACAUCGCCCCUCCUCAGCUUGCCGGCAAAAGCUCAGAGCCUAGUCCUCGAUCUUAUUUGGCUGCAUCAUUUCUUCAUGUUUUCUCAUGCCAUUCCAAGCAUGGAAGAUUCGAGUAUAGUAUUUACUUGAUCAAGCAUGGUUCAUAUUCACGGUAUUACUUGUCAUUUUAUUACAUGCUUUGUUGUGUACUUGCUGAGUCUUUGGACUCACCUCUUGUGGACUUUGUUUCAGGUACAUCGCCGUGAGGCUUUUCAAGUAUUAUGAAGGGCGUAGCUCCCAUGUGUGUUCACUCACAUUUCAUACCCCUUCCAUCCACCUAGCUGAUCAUGAUAAUUCUCAUACUUAGUUCAUGAUUCUUGGUAGCUAGGAUCUACUUGUGGUGUAUAAACUUUGCUUUGGUUUGUUUCCAUGAUCACUAUGUUUACCUGUCAAAGGUGGGUUGGAGUUGACUAGUCCCCACCUUGCACCAUGGUGUGUUGGAACGUAUGUUUUCUUUGCUAUGUGUAGCAUAACGGUUGGUGGCUUCACCACUUUGCUCUACAUGGGUUGUAGGAGCUUGUUGGAUGCUUCUGCUUGUCAUAUUAUGAAUAUAUGCUCUGUUUAUUCAACUGCCUGUCGUGGAUGUCCGAUGGUACAAAGGAGGUGCUACUGGAUUUUUCCACGAGCAUUGUGUUUUGGUGGUAACAUUCCUUCUUAGACAAGAGGGAUGAACACUUGAGUAGGAUCAAGCAUGGAGAUGAAUGCGCGUGCGAAGGGGUCUAGAAUGGCGUUACUAGUGCAUAUUUGAGCACUUUAAAGCUCCGUGAUGAUCGACAAAGACAUGGAUGAAAUAUACAAGAUGCCCCUUCACAAAUUUCGUCCAUAACUUAUUUUAGGUGCCGUGUCACCUUAUUUUUGGGCCAGACUCAUGUAAUUUCGAAAUACUAAAGUAUAGGCUGUUUUUAGAGUCCAUAUGUGUGGGAAAAAACAGAGUUAGGGUUGGUUUCGGACCCCUCCUCCAAGGGGUCACGAAAUUCCCCUCUCUUGCUUCAUAUAUACAGCUCUUAGGGCAUCUUUAGACUUUGGAUUUUGUUUAGAUUAAAAGUUUGCCAUAGCUGCAACUUCGCGUACUUCGUUUGUGUUCAACGACCAGACCAAGACGUCACAUAAUCCCACUUGAUCAAUAAAGCUUUCCUCUUU